rnacentral:lncRNA from 1 species
CUGAGACAAAAAAAACCACUAUAUGAUUUAAAAUUAGCAGUAUGACAGAAAUGGAAACUAGCUCCAAACUUAAAUACCAAGUGGAUACAUUACCUAGAUGCAAAAAUUCACCAGAAACUUGAUUUUUUAAAAUAAUUAAUGUCCCCCAGGAAAAGCUCAUAACCAAACAAGGGGAAGGAUUGUAGAAGAUAAAAAGUAUUUGCAGAAACUUUCAAUAAAGCUAACACUAAAAAGGGAAACAACUGGGGACAUUUAUUGCAAUAUUUCUCUAAUAAAGGUCUCAUGUCUAAAGUAUAAGGAAGUGAUUCGUAUUCAUAAGAUUCAUUCCCCAGUCCAUAAAUAGUUCAAACGUGUCGCAUUCUCGAGGGAAGAAACCCACGCUAUAUGUGACAAGAUGUGAAAUGGUAGUAGCACAGUGUGAUUGGAAGAAAAACUAAAAAUACAAUGGCCAGUAGAUAAAUGACAAAAGAAUAUGGAUUGGGUGAUGUACCUGAAAAAAGUAAUCCAGAGGGAGCAAAAUUGCUGAAUGAUGGUGGCAAAGGAAGGGUUUGGAACCGCACUCUGAAAUCAGGGAGCAAAGAUGAUUGCUCCAGGUCAUUGUGUGGCAAGUAUUAAAGCCAAACAGUAUUAGAAAGGGAUGUGGUUUCUUCUACAGGGAACUAGGUCUCCAUGAUGAAAGGACCUGCUAUGAUGUCUUUAUCACUGUGGUUGGAAGAGUAAAAUGUAAUGGAAGUGUUUUAGUGGGGCUAUCAAGUAUCCUUUGAGUUACAGAGGGCAAUUUAGAAUUUAGAUUAAAGCAUAUAACCACCAAGGAUCAGGAGAUAAAUGGGUUGCUCCAUUUUUCAAAUAGCCAAUAGCACCAUGUAUGAAGCAUUUAUUGCCAUUUUGCAAUUCUGAAAAUAGUGAAUUAUUUUAAGAUGAAAGCAGAAUCCCCCAAGCAUUGCAUCUAGAACAAUCUUAACAGAAGUCUAAUUCAGCAUUGCUUCAGAAUGUGAAUCUCAGAAGAUUGAUAAGACAUUUUAAUGAUUGAUAAUACGUUUCAAGCACUGAGCAAAUGCGUUGUUAGCAUGUCAUGAAAAAAAUCAUGUCUGUGCCCUAAUAGACAACCUGACCUUACCUCUGAGUUGCCCUGUGUUUUUAAACAAUCUGCAGAUAUUUCUACAAUGAAAAUAAAGUAUUUUAUCACAAAA